CCUACGGGCGGCAGCAGUGAGGAAUAUUGGUCAAUGGACGCAAGUCUGAACCAGCCAUGCCGCGUGCAGGAAGACGGCUCUAUGAGUUGUAAACUGCUUUUGUACGAGGGUAAACGCAGAUACGCGUAUCUGUCUGAAAGUAUCGUACGAAUAAGGAUCGGCUAACUCCGUGCCAGCAGCCGCGGUAAUACGGAGGAUUCAAGCGUUAUCCGGAUUUAUUGGGUUUAAAGGGUGCGUAGGCGGUCGGAUAAGUUAGAGGUGAAAUCCCGAGGCUCAACUUCGGAAUUGCCUCUGAUACUGUUCGGCGAGAGUGUAGUUGCGGUAGGCGGAAUGUAUGGUGUAGCGGUGAAAUGCUUAGAGAUCAUACAGAACACCGAUUGCGAAGGCAGCUUACCAAGCUACUUCUGACGUUGAGGCACGAAAGCGUGGGGAGCAAACAGGAUUAGAUACCCCAGUAGUC
rnacentral:rRNA from 1 species